rnacentral:piRNA from 1 species
CUUAGUGUUUCUUCUCCAUUUUAG